CGCCGAACCGCUUCGACACGGAACCCACGUGAUACAAGCCGCCUCCUGCCUCCGCUGAUAAAAUGCUCUCCACACCUCUUUCUCUCUCCCUCUCUCGCUUUCUCUCUCCGCCUCCACCUCCUUCUUCUCCUCUCUUCUCGCUCUUCUGAUCCGUGAUUCUUCGAUCAUCUUGCAGUUGGAGGCCUGAGGAGCAUUGGUUAAGUCCUUCGUUCAGGGUAAAUCAUCAGAGGGUGUUUUUGUUAUCAUUGAGACUUUUUUUCAAGCCACUCGGUCUCAAUCUUGAAGGUCAGCACCCAUCCUUCUUUGAGUGCUAUGGAUGCCCGUGAGAGCCCUCUGCUGAUUACCUAUUUGCCUGAGAUUCUUAAUGGAGAGCCAAUUUUCAUCUCUUCAAAUUGCCUUCCUGUGAAAGCCUUCAAUUUUGAACCUGCGGGGCAUGCCUUCCAUUCUGCUGCACUUAAAUUUUUUGGUUUUUGUGAGGAAGAAGACACAGAUACAGAUGAUCAAAGCGUGUUGUCGGAUGAUAGAGGUCAAGCCUAUAUUCCAUCUUCUGAUUUCUAUAGCAGUAGAGGAAAAAAGAAGUCUGUGGCUGGAAGCAAACAGCAAGACCAUUAUGCGCUGUUAGGUUUGGGCCAUCUGCGGUUUCUAGCCACUGAAGAACAGAUAAGAAAGAGUUACCGUGAGACAGCCUUGAAGCAUCAUCCUGACAAGCAGGCUGCUCUUAUUCUUGCUGAAGAAACAGAAGAAGCAAAGCAAGCAAAAAAAGAUGAGAUCGAAAGCCAUUUUAAAGCAAUUCAAGAAGCAUAUGAGGUUCUGAUAGAUCCUGUGAAGAGAAGGAUUUAUGACUCCACUGAUGAGUUUGAUGAUGAUAUACCAACAGACUGUGCCCCACAAGACUUCUUUAAGGUCUUUGGUCCAGCAUUUAUGAGAAAUGGGAGAUGGUCCACGAAUCAGCCAAUUCCUUCUUUAGGAGAUGAGAAUACUCCUUUGAAUGAAGUGGACAGUUUCUAUAACUUUUGGUAUACUUUUAAAAGUUGGAGAGAGUUCCCGCAUGCAGAUGAAUUUGAUCUUGAACAAGCUGAGUCUCGUGAUCAUAAGAGAUGGAUGGAGAGGCAAAAUGCAAAGCUAAGGGAGAAGGCCAGGAAGGAAGAAUAUGCUCGGAUUCGGGCUCUUGUCGACAAUGCUUAUAAGAGAGAUCCAAGAAUCCUUAAGAGGAAGGAAGAGGAAAAGGCUGAAAAGAGGAGGAAAAAGGAGGCAAAGUUUCUGGCUAGAAAGUUACAGGAGGAAGAGGCAGCUAGGGCUGCAGAAGAGGAAAGAAGACUGAAAGAGGAAGAGGAGAAAAGAGCUUCAGAAGCUGCUCUAAACCAAAAAAAGUUGAAGGAAAAGGAGAAGAAGCUGUUGCGCAAAGAAAGGACUCGUUUGCGCACUCUUUCUGCAGCAGUGGUGUCAAAGAAUCUGCUUGAUCUGGCAGAAGACGAUGUGGAAAAAGUGUGCAUGACGCUUGAAAUGGAUCAGCUUAGGCAUCUGUGUGAUGAUAUGGAAAGGAAGGAGGGAAGUAAGAGGGCUCAGCUGCUAAAAGACGCACUGAGUGGAGACAGUUCCAAUGCUAUGAAACAAGAAGCAAAGAACAUGCAGCCCAAUGGCUCUCAAGACUUGGGUACAAAAACCAACGGGGUUGCAGCACAAGUAAGGUUGGACAAUCCGUUAAGCAAUUAUGAGAAGAAAGAGAAACCUUGGGAAAAGGAAGAAAUUGAGAUGCUUAGAAAAGGCAUGCAGAAGUAUCCCAAGGGGACAUCUCGGCGGUGGGAGGUUAUUUCAGACUAUAUUGGCACUGGGAGAUCGGUUGAAGAGAUUCUCAAGGCAACAAAGACUAUCCUGCUUCAGAAGCCUGACUCUUUCAAAGCUUUUGACUCGUUCCUCGAGAAAAGAAAGCCAGCCCAAGCCAUUUCUUCACCUCUGACCACAAGAAUUGAAUCAGAAGGGCUGCCUGUUGAGGGAACUCAGGAUUCAUCACCUAAAAUAGCAGCAAAGCAGCCAACAAAUACUACAAAUAACCAGAAGCCUGUAGAUGGAGUUGUUUCGGCUUUUAAUGGAGUUCCUUCUGGUACAGAACACGAUACUUGGUCCGAAACUCAAGAAAGAGCUCUUAUUCAGGCUCUGAAAACAUUCCCAAAGGACAUAAACCAACGCUGGGAGCGUGUUGCUGCAGCAGUUCCUGGGAAAACCGUGAUACAGUGCAGAAAGAAAUUUGCUCUGAUGAAGGAGAGCUUCAGAAGCAAGAAAAAUGCAGAGCAGUAGUUUCCAGUUGUAAGGCUAUCAUUCUCUUUGGCAGUAAACUUUAGCUACAUUCAUAAAAGAGAGAACUGUUUUCAUAUGACGGCUUUCAGAGAUGCUGCUACAGUAAAAAGAGGGCUUAAUUUUUGUUUGAUUAGCUGAUGCAGUGGUUACUUUACUCCACUUGCAGUUAAGGCAUCUUGUUUAUUUUCUUGGAAUUGCUUCAUCGUGCUGAGGGACAUUGAAGCAGCUGGUGCAUUCUUGUAAAUGGAGAUAUAUUUGCUGGCUUUAUACAAGCGACAGCGACAUAGAUCUCUUUUUAGCUAAAGCUUUCAAGAUAUGAUAUCAUGGCGUCAAAGUUCUGAACAUUCUGCUUCUUUCUGGCAAAAAUGAGCAAGGUCUAGAAUGGAAUAUAAAUUUCAUGCCAGACUAAUCAACUUUUCAAGAUUUAUGUUUUGGUUAACUCAGGUACAUGGCAUCUGGUUCAGUGUUGGCUUGACAGAGGUCUUAUUUUACUUCUGAACUCUGUCACAAUUAUGGUAGUGACAUCAGCACUAAAAAUUCUGUUCUGGUUGAUUAUUAGCACUUUAUUGAGGUACAUGUCUAUGAUAUUUCUGUUAUGCAUUGAACAAAUAUUUCACAGGUAACCAGUUGUGUGAUAAGUGAAUCACAUUAUCAGUAUCUUGGGGCCACAUGACAAUUUGCUGACCUUGUGGCAUUUUCUUCAGUGCUGGCUUGGCAUGGUUCCUAUUUUACUGCCGAACUCCAUAACAGAUAUGGUUGUGUCAUCAGUACUAAAAGUCAUCUUUUCUGACUGACUAUUGGCAUUAUAUUGAGGUGCAUAUAUACAAUGUUUUACACAUCACACUAAUGUAUUUCACAGGUAACUUGUUUUGCAGCAUCAACAAGGCAUGCUAAUCUUCUUGACUUCAUUUUCUCUUGCACAAUAAUUGAUGCCCAGGGCAGGUUGAAUAAUGAAUUCUGAUGGUUGCUUCAGUCUGCAUAGCCUUAAUGUUUUGAUAUUUUUACACCCCAGAUACAUAACCUUGAUUAUUUUUGGUGAACUGAUUUGUUCUAUUGUAGGUUAUGUAUUACUCUUACGUAUGUUAUGGGUAAUCUGCUGUACGGGGCCAGGACAGGUUGAAUAAUUGUGACAGUCACUUCAGUCUGCAUAACAUAAUAGUUUUGAUAUUUUAUACCCGUAACAUGUAAGCUUGAUUAUUUUAGGUGGGCCGGUUUGUUCUAUUGUAUGCGAUGCAUUGCUUGUGUAAAUCACAAGUAAAAUUAUUGGGUGGGAUUAGCAAGUCAUGAUGAUCCUAUUGACUUCCUUUGCACAACGAUUGAUAUUGAGGGGCCAGGACGGGCUGAAUAAUGAGUUGUGAUCAUCACUUAGCCUGCAUAACCUGAAUGUUUUGAUAUUUUUAUACCCCUGGUAUGCAACCUUGAUUAUUUUAGGCGGACUGGUUUGUUUAUUGUAGGUUAUCCGUUACUCUUUAUGUAUUUUGUGGGUCAAUUGGUGGGUGGGAUUAGCAAGUCAUGAUAGCGUAUUCACUUCAUUUAAUACCUUGGGGCCAUGACAGGUUGAAUUAUGAGUUGUGAUCGUUACGUCAGUCUGCAUUGCCUGAAUUUUUUGAUAAUUUUUUGUGCCCCUGAUUUGUAACCUUGAUUGUUUUAGAUAGAUUGGUUUGUUAUGCGUUACUCCUGCAUGUUUCACAGGUGAACUGUUGUGUGGGGUUUGCAGGUCAUGAUAAUCCUAUUGACUUCUCUUGCACAAUGACUGAUACCCGAGGGCAACAUAGGUUGAAUAAUGAGUUGUGAUUGUCACUCUGGUUUGCAUAGCCUGAAUGUUUGAUAAUUUUAUACCCCUAAUAUGCGACCUUGGUUAUUUUAGGUGGAUUGGUUGUUCAUUGUAGGUUAUGCAUUACUCUUACAUAUUUUGCGGUUAAAUUGCUACGUGGGAUUAGCCAGUCAUGAUAGUCCUCCCAUGUACCUCAUUCUCUCGCACACAACAAUUGAUAUACAGGAGCCAGGACAAGUUGAUUGAUGAGUUGUGAAGUUGUGAUCGUCACUUCAAUCUACAUAGCCAGAAGCAUGUUCAGUGCACGUUGGUUAUGAAAAUAGGGAUAUGGUAAUUGAGUCGCUCGUGCUGGACACACGUGCGUGAACACCUGCUUAUAAGUCGCCCAUAUCCGCAAGGCUUGGCAUGCGUGGGCAUCGAUUUGGUGGACGGUACGUCUUGACCAGCUGGCGAGGAGGAGGGCUACGUGGCAUCUUGUUAUUCCAUCUACUCGGGGGACCUCAAGCCAUGCUGUCCACAGAAUCCGCAUCCAGAGAAAAUUAUCAACCAAAGCACGAAUCUCUAAUUCCAUUUGAAUGUGUUUAGCAUCCUCAGCCAAAGCGCGAAUCUCAUGCAGUGGAUACGGAACGUGAACUUGAUCCCAUCUUCCAAAUUCCAGGCACCCAACACUCCCACGCUCACCAACCGUUCCACACUUGUCUUGGUGCGUAACAGCGUACAACGAGCAAGGCCUACUCUCCCCUCCCUUUCUUCCUCAUCCGUUUGGCCGACACCCUGUAUUGAAUUGUUAACUUCUUGUUGUCUAAUCAUUUACAUCUUUCUGACUUUUCCUGUCUGUAAGUAGAAUCUGCUGUAACUACAAUAGCAAUGGAUGUUUUAGUGGUCCGCUUCUUUCUUUUCUCUUUCUUCUUGUAUAAGCUUUCUCAUUUUAUUUGGACAAAUCCUAGGUCCAUGUAACA